rnacentral:rRNA from 1 species
UACGAAGGGGGCUAGCGUUGUUCGGAAUCACUGGGCGUCAAGCGCACGUAGGCGGAUGGUUAAGUCAGAGGUGAAAGCCUGGAGCUCAACUCCAGAACUGCCUUUGAUACUGGCCAUCUCGAGUCCGGAAGAGGUAAGUGGAACUGCGAGUGUAGAGGUGAAAUUCGUAGAUAUUCGCAAGAACACCAGUGGCGAAGGCGGCUUACUGGUCCGGUACUGACGCUGAGGUGCGAAAGCGUGGGGAGCAAACAGG